CUCCACCAGACAUUGCUGGCCCUUCCCCCCCCGCGAGCCUCCGGCCCCCUGCGUGUACACACACACCUGCAGGCCCGGCAGAAGUGAUGCUCAACGGGGCCUCCACACAUCCCCAUAGCGCGCUUGGGCGCACCAGGGUGGAGGAAAUAUUGGGGCGACGCGGCUCGGAGUUCACCCUAAAAUGGGCGCCUGGGCAGCCCCUAGAAAGAAACUCAAGCAGGGCGCCGCUCACCCGCCACCCUCUGCAGCUCCCACCGCAGCCAAGAUAAAAACGUUAGCGGGUGAGAGCGGGAGGAGCAGGAAGAAAGUAUAUUUUUUUCUAAAAAAGGAAGGAAACACCUGCCCCCUUCUCCAUAGGGAGGAGGGAAGCGCCCCUACUUCGGGAAGUCGCCUUUUCCCGCUGACAAGCUGCCCCCGCCGGUUCGCAGCUCCGGGCUCUGAGCUCCAGAUCGCAGCCCCUAUCCCGGAGCGAAGCUAAGGCAACUGCGUCUCCUCUCACCGACAAGACUCCGGCUCAGACGGGUGGGCGGCGAGUAGGGCUCCAGUCACAGACUGGCGCUAGCAAAAUGGAGGAGGAGAGGCAGUGAUGUGUGGUAGAGGAGGAAGAGGAGGAGGAGGGCCAGCGAUGUCUGGUGGAGGAGGAGGAGGGCAAGCAAAGUCUGGUAAAGGAGGAGGAGGAGGGCCAGCGAUGUCUGGUAGAGGAGGUGGAGGAGGAAGAGGAGGAAAAGGGCCAGCAAUGUCUGGUAGAGGAGGAGGACGAGGGCCAGCAAUGUCUGGUAAAGGAGAAGGAGGAGGAGGAGGAGGAGGGCGGCCAGCGAUGUCUGGUGGAGGAGGAGGAGGAGGAGGAGGGCCAGCAAUGUCUGGCAGAGGAGGAGGAGGAGGGCCAGCGAUGUCUGGAGGAGGAGGAGGAGGAGGAGGAGGGCCAGCAAUGUCUGGAAGAGGAGGAGGAGGAGGAGGGCCCUCAAUGGCUGGUAGGGGAGGAAGAGGAGGAGGAGGGCCAGUGAUGUCUGGUAGAGAAGGAGGAGGAGGAGGAGAGGCAGCGAUGUCUGGUAGACGAAGAAGAGGAGAAGGGCCAGCAAUGUCUGGUGGAGGAGGAGGAGGAGGAAGGCCAGCAAUGUCUGGUGGAGGAGGAGGAGGAGGAAGGCCAGCAAUGUCUGGUAGAGGAGGAAGAGGAUGAGGAGGAUGAGUUGGACGAGGGCCAGUGAUGCCUGGUAGUGGAGGAGGAGGAGGAAGUCCAGCAAUGUCUGGUAAAGGAGAAGGAGGAGGGCCAGCAAUGUCUGGAAGAGGAGGAGGAGGAGGAGGAGGAGGAGGGCCAGCUAUGUCUGGUUCAGGAGGAGGAGGAGGAGGGCCAGUGAUGUCUGGUAGAGGAGGAGGAGGAGGAGGAGGAGGACGGCCAGCGAUGUCUGGUAGAGGAGGAGGAGGAGGAGGAGGAGGAGGGGCAGUGAUGUGUGGUAGAGGAGGAAGAGGAGGAGGAGGGCCAGCGAUGUCUGGUGGAGGAGGAGGAGGGCAAGCAAAGUCUGGUAAAGGAGAAGGAGGAGGGCCAGCGAUGUCUGGUAGAGGAGGAGGAGGAGGAGGAGGAAGUCCAGCAAUAUCUGGUAAAGGAGAAGGAGGAGGGCCAGCAAUGUCUGGUGGAGGAGGAGGAGGAGGAGGGCCAGUGAUGUCUGGUGGAGGAGGAGGAGGAGGAGGGCCAGUGAUGUCUGGUAGAGGAGGAGGAGGUGGAGGAAAAGGGCCAGCGAUGUCUGGUAGAGGAGCAGAAGGAGGAGGAGGAGGAGGGCCAUCAAUAUCUGGUAGAGGAGGAGGAGGAGGGCCAGCAAUGUGUGGUAAAGGAGAAGGAGGAGGAGGAGGAGGAGGAGAGGCAGUGUUGUCUGGUAGAGGAGGAAGCGGAGGAGGAGGAGGAGGAAGGUCAGAAAUGUCUGGUAGAGGAGGAGGAGGAGGAAGGCCAGUGAUGUCUGGAGGAGGAGGAG
rnacentral:lncRNA from 1 species